rnacentral:rRNA from 1 species
CGCUAGCGACAGGCUUAACACAUGCAAGUCGAGGGGCAGCACAGGUAGCAAUACCGGGUGGCGACCGGCGCACGGGUGAGUAACGCGUAUGCAACUUGCCUAUCAGAGGGGGAUAACCCGGCGAAAGUCGGACUAAUACCGCAUGAAGCAGGGGCCCCGCAUGGGGAUAUUUGCUAAAGAUUCAUCGCUGAUAGAUAGGCAUGCGUUCCAUUAGGCAGUUGGCGGGGUAACGGCCCACCAAACCGACGAUGGAUAGGGGUUCUGAGAGGAAGGUCCCCCACAUUGGUACUGAGACACGGACCAAACUCCUACGGGAGGCAGCAGUGAGGAAUAUUGGUCAAUGGGCGUAAGCCUGAACCAGCCAAGUCGCGUGAGGGAUGAAGGUUCUAUGGAUCGUAAACCUCUUUUAUAAGGGAAUAAAGUGCGGGACGUGUCCCGUUUUGUAUGUACCUUAUGAAUAAGGAUCGGCUAACUCCGUGCCAGCAGCCGCGGUAAUACGGAGGAUCCGAGCGUUAUCCGGAUUUAUUGGGUUUAAAGGGUGCGUAGGCGGCCUUUUAAGUCAGCGGUGAAAGUCUGUGGCUCAACCAUAGAAUUGCCGUUGAAACUGGGAGGCUUGAGUAUGUUUGAGGCAGGCGGAAUGCGUGGUGUAGCGGUGAAAUGCUUAGAUAUCACGCAGAACCCCGAUUGCGAAGGCAGCCUGCCAAGCCAUUACUGACGCUGAUGCACGAAAGCGUGGGGAUCAAACAGGAUUAGAUACCCUGGUAGUCCACGCAGUAAACGAUGAUCACUAGCUGUUUGCGAUACACUGUAAGCGGCACAGCGAAAGCGUUAAGUGGUCCACCUGGGGAGUACGCCGGCAACGGUGAAACUCAAAGGAAUUGACGGGGGCCCGCACAAGCGGAGGAACAUGUGGUUUAAUUCGAUGAUACGCGAGGAACCUUACCCGGGUUUGAACGCAUUUUGACAGCUCUGGAAACAGAGCCUCUAGCAAUAGCGAUUUGCGAGGUGCUGCAUGGUUGUCGUCAGCUCGUGCCGUGAGGUGUCGGCUUAAGUGCCAUAACGAGCGCAACCCUUGCCACUAGUUACUAACAGGUAAAGCUGAGGACUCUGGUGGGACUGCCAGCGUAAGCUGCGAGGAAGGCGGGGAUGACGUCAAAUCAGCACGGCCCUUACAUCCGGGGCGACACACGUGUUACAAUGGCGUGGACAAAGGGAGGCCACCUGGCGACAGGGAGCGAAUCCCCAAACCACGUCCCAGUUCGGAUCGGAGUCUGCAACCCGACUCCGUGAAGCUGGAUUCGCUAGUAAUCGCGCAUCAGCCAUGGCGCGGUGAAUACGUUCCCGGGCCUUGUACACACCGCCCGUCAAGCCAUGGGAGCCGGGGGUACCUGAAGUGCGUAACCGCGAGGAGCGCCCUAGGGUA